UAGUGCCAGCCAUACACUGAGGACUACAAAAAGCUUUGUUCACAAUGAGAAAACCUACUUGCUUCCCGUGUAAGUCGUCGGGUAUUCUGAGCACAG
ensembl:miRNA MIR9815 microRNA mir-9815